rnacentral:rRNA from 1 species
AUGGCAGCAUGCAGCUACCAUCAACAUUGCCCACAGCUCCUCACGCAGCCAACAUACAUUACACAGAUGCGAGCAUCGAGUGACAUGGCCCGUUCAUGCAUUCCGGUCAUGCUCAUGGCCACCAGCUUGCUGCUAAUGCCGUUCGUGGCUGUUUCAUCUCCUGCUCCGAGCAACAACACCGACCUUGCCGCGCUGCUGGCUUUCAAAUCCCAGUUGUCCGGCCAAAAUUUGGCCGAUAACUGGACAACUGAUGUGUCCUUCUGCACCUGGACCGGUGUGUCGUGCAGCCGGCGCCACCACCAGCGUGUCACCGCUUUGGAGCUGCCGGACAUUCCCCUCCAAGGAGAGCUCAGCCCUCACCUCGGUAACCUCUCUUUCCUCCACACCCUCAACCUAACCAACACAAACCUCACCGGUUCCAUCCCAGCUGACCUUGGAAGAUUAGCUCGUCUUAGGUAUCUUGGUCUUGGCCACAAUAGCCUAUCGGAUACAAUCCCAUCUACCAUUGGAAACCUCACCAGGCUCCAGUAUCUGGUCCUAAGUUUCAACCAGCUCUCUGGGCAGAUCCCCACUGAGGUGCGAAACAUGCGUAGCCUUACGUUCCUCUCUCUCCAAAGAAAUUCCAUUACCGGCCUCACGCCAAAUUUUUCAUUUGAUAGCACACCUUCACUGAGCCACAUCGAUAUUCGGAACAAUAGUCUGUCCGGCCCAAUACCAUCUGGUAUUGGCUCCUUGCUCCUGCUCCAGGUUCUUCGCUUGAACUGGAACCUGCUCUCCGGUCCAGUACCUCCUACCAUCUUCAACAUGUCUAGGAUUGUUGACUUGCGUCUGGGGCACAACAAUCUAACAGGUCAUAUACCUAGCAAUAGAAGCUUUAGUCUCCCCAUGUUGCUAAUACUUAAUCUUUAUGAGAACAAAUUCGAGGGUCAAAUUCCAUUGGGCCUUGCAUCAUGCCAGCACCUUAGGGAACUUAUCAUUCCUGGAAAUCUAUUCGUGGAUGUGGUGCCGACAUGGCUGGCUUCGCUACCACGGCUUACUGCAAUUUCUAUGGGUGGCAAUGCCCUAGUUGGCCCGAUCCCACCUGUGCUUGGAAAUCUCACCAUGCUCAGCGCACUUGACAUCGCAGACUCCAACUUAAGCGGAGAUAUUCCUGUGGAAUUGGGAGAACUGAGACAACUCACUUGGCUGCACCUUGCAAACAAUCAGCUAACAGGUCCCUUCCCAAAAUUUCUAGGAAAUUCGACAAAAAUGUCUUCCUUAGAUUUGAGUGUCAAUCAACUGACUGGACCAGUACCGUUAACACUUGGAAAUAACAGGCCUCUUAUCGUUCUCUAUAUUCAAGAGAAUCAUCUCCAAGGGGAUCUUAGUUUCUUGGCCAGCCUUUGCAAUUGUCAACAACUUCAAGUCCUUGUCAUAUCGAAUAAUUCUUUCACUGGGAGUAUCCCUAGCUAUUUUGGUAACCUCUCGACUAACCUGGUAAUAUUUGGAGCAGAUAACAACCGUUUGGUUGGUGGGCUUCCAACAACACUAUCAAAUCUUACCGGUCUUCGUGUGAUAAGCUUUUCCAACAACUAUCUUACCAAAGAAAUACCAGAAUCCAUUCUUAAGUUGGAGAAUCUCCAGGCACUUGUUCUCUCUGGAAAUAGAAUGGCUGGCCAAAUCCCUGUACAAAUUGGUAUGCUGGGAAGUAUCGUACAGUUAAUACUCAGGGACAAUAUGUUAUCUGGCUCCAUACCAGAUGCCAUGGGAAACCUCACCAUGUUAGCUGAGGUUUUAUUAUCUUAUAAUCAUUUAUCUUCGACCAUACCAUCAAGCUUGUUUUAUCACAGGAACCUUAUGAAACUAGAUAUGUCAUAUAACUCCCUAACUGGUACAUUACCUUCUGAUCUUAGCCAUAUGCAAAAUAUGGACUGGAUAGAUCUUUCUAGUAACCUCUUGUCUGGUAGCCUUCCAGGUUCAUUUGGACAGGUUGCCAUAUUAUUAACCUACCUAAAUCUUUCGCACAACUCAUUUAAGGGUUUAGUUCCAAACUCUUUCAGCCAAUUAACCAACUUAGAAACACUGGACCUAUCCUCAAAUAAUCUUUCAGGUACGAUACCAGACUACCUUGUUAACUUCACUUACCUUUCUUCUUUGAACCUCUCCUUCAAUAGGUUAGAAGGGCAAAUACCAAAUGGAGGUGUUUUUUCGAACCUCACCUUACAAUCUUUGAUGGGGAAUGUUGGGCUAUGUGGCGCUCCUCGUCUCGGACUGUCACCGUGCCUGCACAAGUCUAACUUGACUUAUAGUCGACACAUCCACAAGUUUAUACUCCUGGUUGUCAUCAUUGGAGUUGGUGCAUUUGCAGCCACCAUUUACCUAAUGAUCAGAAAGAAAAAUAAGAAACAUUCUUAUGGUACGACUUCUACUAGCAUGACUGAUCUGAUCAGCCAUAGGUUAGUAUCCUACCAUGAGAUUGUUCGUGCCACUGAAAAUUUCAAUGAGGACAACCUACUUGGUAUUGGAAGUUUUGGCAAAGUUUUCAAGGGCCAACUAGAUGAUGGUUUUGUGGUUGCAAUAAAAGUGCUCAAUAUGCAAGUCGAGCAGGCCGUGAGGAGUUUUGAUGCUGAAUGUCAAGUGUUGCGCAUGGCUCGACAUCGCAACUUGAUACAAAUAUUGAAUGCGUGUUCCAGCCUGGAUUUCAAGGCACUGCUUCUUCAGUACAUGCCCAAUGGUAGCAUGGAGACACACUUGCACAACGAAAAUAGGGAACCACUAAGAUUCAUGCAGAGAUUGGACAUUAUGCUUGGCGUGUCAGAGGCAAUGGAGUACCUGCACCAUCAUCAUUUCCAAGUUGUCCUGCACUGCGACCUGAAGCCUAGCAAUGUGUUGUUCGAUGACGACAUGACGGCGCAUGUUGCCGACUUUGGCAUUGCAAAGUUACUUCUACGUGAUGACAACUCCAUGGUUUCAGCAAGUAUGCCGGGGACAAUUGGGUACAUGGCCCCUGAGCUAGCAUUCAUGGGAAAGGCAUCACGAAAGACUGACAUGUUCAGCUUCGGGAUCAUGUUGCUUGAAGUCUUCACAGGGAAGAGGCCCAUGGACGCUAUGUUCGUCGGGGAAUCUAGCCUCAGAUGGUGGGUUUCGCAAGCAUUUCCAGCAAAGCUCGUUGAUGUUUUGGAUGAGAAGCUACAACAGGGUGAAGAAAUGAACCUUGCAUUCCAUCACCAAACAAUUAAUACUUCUUCGUCGACAUCCUCCAUUGCCUGCAAUGGAAACUUUCUUGUGUCGAUAUUCGAACUGGGUCUAGAGUGUUCGGACGACUCUCCUAGUCGGAGGGCAAGCAUGAGCGACGUGGUCGUGAGGCUCAAAAACAUUAAGAAGGAUUACUUUGCUUUCAUGGUGGCAACUCAAAGCGCGCAACAACAUUCAUGA